rnacentral:tRNA from 1 species
GUUUUAAUAGUUUAAAAAAAAACUUUGGUCUUGUAAGCCAAUAAUGAAUAUCAUUUCUUAAAGCU